AAAGUUAGGAGAAGCGAAGUUCAGAAUCUGCAGCAUCCAUUGUUGAUUAUUAGAAAUAUUGCUGUUCUCGGUGAAGUAUUGCACAGCGUCAGUCAGAGACGCGUGUGCGUGCAUCCAUAUAACCACGCACACAUACCAUCUCUGUGGACAAAGGAAGCAGGUUGUAUUUACGUUUAUUGAAGAGACGGAAGUUUUCAUGCAUUCUUACUGGGUGCCUCACAGAGAUUACAUUGUUACCCCAGCCAUUUGAUGAGAAGAUGUUGGAAAGUAAUAUGCUCUGGCCCGCUUCCAACUAGUAGGAGCGACGAGGUCCUGUCAAUCAGCUGUGACCCCACUUUACAUGGGCUGGCUCUUGAUAGGCGGGUAUGGUUGUCCCUCCCUCAUGACUGCAUGGGCUCUUGAUCCCUGUCCUAGUAGCUAUGCAGCCAUAGACUAUUCCUGGCGGGACCCCGAUUGUAAUUGUAAUUCCCCAAUUCAUACCAUUGUCACUUUACCCACUGAUUGUUUUAAUUCCCUAAUCGCUCCCAUCUCUAGGUUACCCCAGACUGGUACGUAUCGCUCGUAUCUGAUCUGGGGGAGACUGGAGGAGGCCCCAAGAUGUAGACCCUUCUCAGGCUUGACUCGGGUGGUUGGGCUACCUAGCGGUGUUAACAAAAACCACUUGGGUCUAGCAUGGUGAGUAUCCAGCCCCCCUGGGUCCACUUGGACAGCACGCAGGGUGUGGUGGUCUGGGGCCACAGACCUUAAAUGGUGCCCAAUUUUCUAUUGGUGACUAGCACCACCCACACACCAGACCAUCAUGCACUACACACGUGAAUUGGACUAACCAAGACCAGUUUGGGCUCUUUCAAAUUUCUUCACCCCUCUAAAUUGUCGCGUUUCGGGAAAAUACCAGCAGGGCAUGUAGAAGAAAGAUGGACCUAAAAAAACAGUUUAAAAAGAAUUACACUUACCGUAAGUAUUUCGAUGAGAACUC